CAGGAUCUGCCAUGGAGCACAUGCUACAUGUUAGUGAGAGAGUCACUACACGUAUUAGUGAUCAAGAAAUGGGCACUCCAGCAUAGGAGCAAAAAAGAAUUUUAAUAACGAGAGAAUACUAACGCUUCAUCAUCACUUACUUCUGCCAGCUGAGCCUUGUUGAGUCCAGGCCUAGUCUGCAGCUUAUAAUGUCUCUUGUAACGUCGCAGAGUAUUCACUUGGAGCUGAAACAAGUCGACCUCCGGGACGUCCGCCUCGUGCUCAGGAGAGUCGCCUCCAUCAUCACUUGUCUUCCUUUUCCUUUUGUUUCGGACACUUUGAAUAAAAUUCUUGUGAAAAUCGCAUAUAUACAGAUGUCUCACGCUUUUGUCGAUGUCCAGCUUCAGCUUCUUCUGCGAGAUGCUCUUCUGGAUCCUCUUGCUGAAGGACGCGUUGCCCGCGGGCCGCACGCAGCGGUCGCCGUCGUCGAUGAGGCAGCAGCUCUGGCCGUAAAAGGGGGCGGCGGGCGGCCCGUCCCGGCUGUCCUCCUCGGUGCUGAACCCAUUC
rnacentral:lncRNA from 1 species